rnacentral:rRNA from 1 species
GCUUGCACCGAGCGGAUGAGUUGCGAACGGGUGAGUAACGCGUAGGUAACCUGCCUCUUAGCGGGGGAUAACUAUUGGAAACGAUAGCUAAUACCGCAUAAAAGUCGAUAUCGCAUGAUGUUGAUUUGAAAGGUGCAAUUGCAUCACUAAGAGAUGGACCUGCGUUGUAUUAGCUAGUUGGUGAGGUAACGGCUCACCAAGGCGACGAUACAUAGCCGACCUGAGAGGGUGAUCGGCCACACUGGGACUGAGACACGGCCCAGACUCCUACGGGAGGCAGCAGUAGGGAAUCUUCGGCAAUGGACGGAAGUCUGACCGAGCAACGCCGCGUGAGUGAAGAAGGUUUUCGGAUCGUAAAGCUCUGUUGUAAGAGAAGAACGAGUGUGAGAGUGGAAAGUUCACACUGUGACGGUAACUUACCAGAAAGGGACGGCUAACUACGUGCCAGCAGCCGCGGUAAUACGUAGGUCCCGAGCGUUAUCCGGAUUUAUUGGGCGUAAAGCGAGCGCAGGCGGUUAGAUAAGUCUGAAGUUAAAGGCUGUGGCUUAACC